rnacentral:tRNA from 2 species
GGGUGAGUAGCUCAACGGUAGAGCAGUUGACUCUUAAUCAAUUGGUUGCGGGUUCGAUUCCCUCCUCACCCACUA